rnacentral:rRNA from 1 species
UCAAAUGAAUUGACGGGGAGCACCACAACGGGUGGAGCUUGCGGUUUAAUUGGAUUCAACGCCGGAAAUCUUACCGGGACCGACAGCAAUAUGAAGGCCAGGCUGAAGACUUUGCCGGAUUAGCUGAGAGGUGGUGCAUGGCCGUCGUCAGUUCGUACUGUGAAGCAUCCUGUUAAGUCAGGCAACGAGCGAGACCCACGCCCACAGUUGCCAGCGUACUCUCUGGAGCGACGGGUACACUGUGGGGACCGCCGCUGCUAAAGCGGAGGAAGGAAUGGGCAACGGUAGGUCAGUAUGCCCCGAAUAUCCCGGGCUACACGCGAGCUACAAUGGUUGGUACAAUGGGUAUCUACCCCGAAAGGGGACGGGAAUCUCCUAAAACCAAUCUUAGUUCGGAUUGAGGGCUGCAACUCGCCCUCAUGAAGCUGGAAUCCGUAGUAAUCGCGUUUCAACAGAACGCGGUGAAUACGUCCCUGCUCCUU